rfam:Aureobasidium pullulans var. melanogenum CBS 110374 unplaced genomic scaffold scaffold_1, whole genome shotgun sequence.
GCUCGUGUGGUCUAGUGGUAUGACAUCUCUCUCACAGCGUGAUGUACAGAGAAGAUCCUGGGUUCGAUCCCCAGCAUGAGCA